CUCAAUUUGGUAUUUACGGGGGUAAAAUGGCUCAGCUUUCAUCAAUGUCUGUGAUUGCUGACCGGCCUAUAAGAAGCAGUGUUGGUUGGCUUUCAAAUCUACCACAAACCAGUGAACAGCAAUGGAGAAGAAAAGAACAAGGAAACCCAAUUGGACAGAGGAACAGUGUUUGCUUCUGGCUCAAUUGGUCAAUGAGCAUAAAAGUGUUUUGAGAGGUAAAUUUGUCCCCAGUGUCACAGUACGAGCCAAGAAGCAAGCAUGGAAAACUAUAGUACGGAUAAAUGCCUCGUUUCCGCUGGUUGUGCGGACAAAUGAGGAUUGCGAGAAGCGGUGGUAUGUGUUGCAGUCAAAAGCAAAAGAGGAGAUUGCAGCACACAAACGUGAAUCUUCACACACAGGGGGUGGACCACCUGCUAGGCAGCUAUCCCAGGUUGCAAAAAUGGUGUUUGAUAUACUGGGGCAGUCAGAAGUUAGUACCACCGGGCUGAGGGAAAGCAUUGACUCUUCAAUGAUGCAGGCCAUUGACAUGCAACAAAGCAUGGAGCCAUCAGAGGAACCGGGCCCCUCAACAUUGCAGCGGCUGCGCAGACAGCCUCAGCCUGAAACAUCAGAAUUUAGCCUGCCCGCUGCUGCUGCUGCUGCUGCUGCUGCUGCUGCUGCUGCUGCUCAAACACCAUUCCUGCCUGCUGCACCUGCUGCUCCGUCAUCAUCCCUGCAGGACAGAAGAUUGGAGUUGACAAUGGAUGUCUUCAGACAGCAGAAAGAGGUUCUAUGCCUACAGGAGGAGUACUAUCGACUGAAAAUCGAGCUCCUAAAAAUAAAUCCAAUGACAAAUAGAUAUUGUGUCUUUGUGAGUAAUAUGUGUCGUGUAUUUAACUAUUGUAGGUGAUGUGUGGUAAAACUAUGUGGUACAUUAGUUCAAUGCAGUCACAAGUUUUCAAAUUACAUAUACUGUAACUUGCCUGAAAUGUAAAUUUGUAAAGUAUGCUCUGUAAGGCAGUCCACUUUGGGCCAAGUUCCCCUGUGGAAAGUGAAUAUUUUCUUCAUCAUCAUCAUCGCUGUCUUCAUCACUAUCACCCUCAAGAGGUUCUGCAAUCUGUCUAGCCUUGCAAGUGUUGUGCAGUAUUGCACAGGCUAUUAUGACUUUGCAGACUUUAUCAGGGGUCAGCCGCACCUCUCCGUGGAGAACAUGAAAGCGCCUCUUCAGUUGGCCAAUGCCACGCUCCACUACUGCCCUUGUUGUCUUAUGGGCCCUACAAGUUAAUACAGACAUAAUCAAAAUCAGUGUUGGGAGUAACGGCGUUUAAGUAUAACGGCGUUAUUUUUUUAGUAACGGAGUAAUCUAAUGAAUUACUUUUCCCAUCGUUACAACGCCGUUACGGUUACCGACUAUAAAAUGUGGUG
rnacentral:lncRNA from 1 species